CCCUUAGAUGUUCUGGGCCGCACGCGCGCUACACUGACUGGUGCAACAAGUGUCGCCCCUUGGCCGAUAGGCCUGGGCAAUCUUUGAACGCCAGUCGUGAUGGGGAUAGAUUCUUGCAAUUUUUGAUCUUCAACGAGGAAUUCCUAGUAAACGCGAGUCAUCAACUCGCAUUGAUUACGUCCCUGCCCUUUGUACACACCGCCCGUCGCACCUACCGAUUGAAUGGUCCGGUGAACCCUCCGGAUCGGCCCGCGCCAACGCAAGUUGAGCAAAGGCCGAGAAGUUGGGUAAACCUUACCAUUUAGAGGAAGGUGAAGUCGUAACA
rnacentral:rRNA from 1 species